AAUGGCACUGGAAGAAAUCACGG
rnacentral:miRNA from 1 species